UCUGCCUUGUCCUCUUCCCCAUCUUUCUGAACCCACCUUUCUUCUGAAAUUGUGCUUUAGUUUUUCACUUUUUCUUUUUGUGACCCAACAAGUUUAAAUAUGAUUAUUUGAAGGAGCAUGGAUGAAGGGUAAUUUACAGAUUCAUGGGCGAGUCACACACGUUUGCACGACUGAAGAAAGUGUGAAUAAGCUUCAUGCUGACAGCACAAUGAACAUGUUGUAAGAUUGGUAUGAGCUGGUGAGAUGACCCGGUAGGUAAAAGAGAUUGCUGCUUAGUCUAACAACUUCCUGGGAGUGUGUGUGUGUGUGUGUGUGUGUGUGUACAUGUGAGUGUGUGAGUGCCAUGGGACACAUGUGAAAGUCCAGAGGACAACUUGAGAGUUGGUUUUCUCCUUCUAACUUAUGGGUUUCAAGAAGUGUGCCCAGAACUAAAAGACAGAUCUAGUCAUUGAUUUCAUAGAUCUUACAAUAAUUCUAAAUUUUUGUUUUGUUUCAAAUCACUUACUCUCUGAAGGAUAUUGUUUAUUUUAAGUAAAAGAAAUCAAGUAAAAUUGCCACUCUGGAGCAUUUCCAAUGGUCCUUGCUUUUCCUGUUUCUGACUAUGUGAUGAUCUAGAUGCCCCAAGGUAAAAGACAAAGGCUCUAAUUCAGCGAUUUUCAACUCCAGCUAUUUCUUAACGAUCAUCUUGGCAGUUAAGACAACAGUUACCAAAUCUCACCAAUCAAUUAAGUAAUAACCCUAGGUCUGGGACUUUGCCAUGUAUACGUUUUGGAAGCUUCGGAACAGACACUAUAAUGUAGCUAUGACUGAAAACCACCACUUAAAUGAGACAAAUAGAGAAAUAGUAAUGACCACGUAAUUCUGUGAUGAGAAAAAUGUCAAAUAUCAUGAAAAACAAGUGACUAACGAGGCUUGGGAACUUUACCAGAUUUCCCCAAUUCAAGUAAAUGACUUAUCCAGAAGGCAGGCAAGAAACUUCAUUUAGAUUAUCCAGUGACUUCAUCUAUACUCAAUGGGAAUUUUCUGUUGAGAAGUGUCAUACACUGUGUCACGUUGAUAAGAAUUUCCUGCCCUCACCACGAAUGACAAUUAUGCCAUGCAUUGUGAGUGGGAACUGUCCAAAUGCAAUGAAUUUAGGCCAGAUUGAUCUGUACUGUUAGUGGCUUAUUUCAGAGAAGUUUUAAGUUCACAGAAAAUUGUAAUGGAUGGGACAGGAAAUGAUCAUGUACCGCUGUCUCUGCCACGUAUCUGGGAUCCUCCACUGCCGAUUUCCCCUCAUCAGAAUGGCACAGAUGCUACAGCUCAGGAUCCAACAUUGAAGCAUUGGUAGCUCCCAGAAUUGGUAGUGUAGAUGGGCUUUCAUUCCUAGGGGAGACUUUUUCUGGAUGUAGGGAAUAUAAAAUCACAUUGAUAUGCAUUUUCAAAAUAGAAGUAGACACGUGAUUUUGAAUUUGACCUUUGUAACCUUAAAAUACUGAACUUAUUGUAUCUUGAUACUGAGCUCUGGAUGUUGCCGGGAUGCCUGAGUAGCUAGCUGUACCACUGGCAAGGUCAGUCUUCAAGAUUGCCAAUCUGGGUCACCUAGAAUUAGUACAAUGGAAAAAGUAGGAUGGGCAGGUUGAGAUAGAAAUCACAAAGACAUGCUGUCUUUGGUGGAGGAAAGUAGAAAAGGUGUGAUGUGACAUUUACUGUAAAAUCUACCAGAGGAUUAGCUGGUUCAAAGUUAAUCGGAGCAGAAAAGUUUAUGCCAGUUUGAUUGCGUCAGUGUAUGAGUGUGUGGGGGAGGAGGGCAUGUGUGUGUCUGCCUACCCACAGUAUUGAUACCCACAGUAUUGAUAACAGGCUCAUCUAACUUGGUGUGUUAGUCACUGUUGAUUCACUAAUAAAUCUAAGUGUUAACUCUUGUACUCUGUUUGCCUGUCACAGGCAGGCAGGCUUCAAUAGGCCUAACAGCAUGCUAGCACCUUCUAGACUGAGAAAUCUAAUUAUAUUUUGACCACACUUAAACUGCCUUAUCUUAAUGCUUUAGGCUCUUAAAGUGUGGAAAAUGUUAGAUGAAGACCCUCUUUACUCAAUGGCUUUCCGUGAGAAAAAAUUCCUAAAAAUGAUUAUGGGCCACUUUAAAAUUUCAAACUGUUAUGAAAAAGUUAAUUAUUUUUCAAUAUGUCCAUUGACAUUUGUACAAGAAAAAAAACUAAUAUUUCUCAUAAUAGAACUAUUAAUGGAAUUUAACAUUUUUUUAUUAUUACAAUUCCCAGUACUCAUGCACCCUUCUUCUCCUAACUCAAUAAUGGAGUUGUUUAUCAUCAUACAAUAUUGAAUGAUAUUUCUAUUCUAUAAGUUUUCAAUUAUUCAUGUUAAUGGAAAACUUUAAUGCAUAGCUUACAAAAUGACAGCCUGUCAGAGAGUAAUCUCAGGGAGGAGGAAGGGCCAGAAACCUCGAGUCCCUGAUCUGAAUAAAUUGUUGCAGUAUCUUUGUCAAGUGGCUAAUAUUUGUCUUAAAUAUUUCGGGAACAGGGAGAACCCAAGUGAACUACACAAAUAAGAGGAAUUGGGAGUUCUAAGUAGGCAUUUCCUAGCUCACAGGAUGUUCAAAUUCCUGUUUUGUUGGGUGUCCCACUUGGUAGAAGAAAGUGCAAUAACCAGAGUAUGAAUGGAGGCAUCCACCGAAGAAGAAGCAGAAAUCAUAGUGGCAAUGUGAGUAGUAAACCAGUACCAGUGGCAGAGAAAUCAGUAGCAGCUACAUAUAAUAAAGACAGCAAAAGCAUAGCAACUAUAACUGGAUGAAGAGAAAUAACAGCAAUUGUAUCAAAAGCAAUGGAUAUGAUCUCUUGACAAGCAUCAUUUAAAUAUGUUUAUUUGAUAUAGUUCUUUUAAUUCUCACAAUGGUUCCUUUAUACACUCUUUAUUUUAGGAAAUAUUUUCAUUUAGAACAUAUUUCAUCAAAGGGCAGCAAAAGCCAAUGGGCAAAUUAAUGGUGCUUACAGUUUAGAAGUGCUGGCUAGUCACAUGGUGGGGACUGGUAAAGUUCUUCCAAGCUGCCAUCAAAGGUUCUCCUGGUAUCUGCCAGCAGAGACAACUUUUGGGGAUAAAGAAAAAUACUUAGAGAACACUAUGUGUUAGGGAUUUCACAAACAGAGGAGAUAAAUACAAGCUAAAACAAAAGAGGAGUAUAUCUUUUGCAGAAAGAUGGAAAGACUGAAAACUAAAGAAAGACUGAGCUAAUCACAUAAUAAUAUUGAUGUGAUGAAAGAAGACAAGGAGGAAGUCUACUAGUGGUGAGGAAAUCUUUAUAAACUAAAACAGGUUGCUAAAGAGAAAAUGAAAUUUCCCUGGAGACAUUUAAUGGCAGAACCAAUGGCUUCAACAGCAAAUGAUACAGGUAAAGCUUGGAGAAGGAACGAAUAAGCCUAUGCUCCUUUUUCAAUAUACUUUUAUAAAGUAAUUUAAUAUUUUUUAAUAUCUCAGAUUCUUUGUGUCUAUGUAAUUGGGACCUGUUUCCUUGAAGAUAUGUUUCAGUAACCUUGAAGACUGUAACAAAAGAACACGUAGGUCAUAACGUAUUAGAGGCCAAUGCAUUUCUCAUUGUGAAUGAAAAUAAUAGAUAAUGCUUGAACUGCAUUAUUAUAAUUAACUCAAAAUGCACUAUUCAACAUUGAUGCAAAUAUGUUGCUUUCAAGGUUAGAGGUAAAAUAAAAUAGAAUAUUAUUUUUUACUUCAUCAAGUAAAAUUAUUGAUCCAUAUACAUUUGAUUUAAUCCAUGAAAAUAUUAAUUUUGGUAUGGUUUAUGUUUAAGAAAAAUACAAAGCCACAAUUCAGAACUAGAUUUUUGGAAACCCUAUAUUGUUUCUUUUCUUCCUGACAUGAGUGACAAUUCUAAGUGCUGUCCUCUUCAGAGAUAAAGUGACUUACAUAUACUGCUGAAACCAUUAUGAGCACAAAGCAAAUGAUACUUUUGUUUCAUCUGAGAAAAUUUCUCUACCUCCACAUGUUGGUAAAUUAUAUGAGAGCAUGUGGAUGAAAAUAUGAAACCCACAUUCAUGUGUAUCUGGUAUGUUUAAGUUUGUAUAUUGGGUGCCAAUUGGUAGGUAUGUUAAUGAGGUUAAUGAUUAGAAUUUCUCCAAAAAAUAUAUUGCAAUGUAAAAGAACAUAAAUCUUGUGCUUAGAUAUGGUUUAUCAUACACUAGACAGUGAUAAGAGUACUUUGUUAAACUUAGUGUUUCAAAUGUUUGCAUUUUGUUUGAAUUCUAUGAGUCCAUGCACAGAGUUAAGAAAUCAAUCUUCUCUCAAACAAACUUUGUAAAUCACAGUUCUGCCACUAGAUAACACAAUGACAUCAUUGCCUUAGAUAGCUCUGUUUUGGUUCUUCACUUGUAAAAUAUGUAUAAAGAUAGCUGAGUGUUCUUGUGAGGAUGAAAUGAAUUCAUGCAUUAAGUGUUUCAUAGGGUGAAUGAUGUGUAAUAUGCAAGAAGAUCAUAUUUUAAAUAGAUAUCUGAGAGCAAUACCCUGUAGUUUAGACCAACGACUGGCUAGACUAUUAAAAAGGAGCACAUUUAUCCAGUGUUUCUCUCUAGCAUUAACUUAUGCCUGGAUUGACUGAGGAAUACAGGUAUGAAAAUCUUUCCAUUUUCUUUAUAUGCAUUUGCCUAUCAUUCCGAUCUUUCAGACCUGGGGUGUUGUGUUGUAGUUUAAAUUGUGUCAGUUCUAUAAUCAAACAUUUAUUUUUUUUUUCUUCUUCUCUAAUACCUAAUAGGAGAUUAAAUAAUCUACCUCUAGCCUUCACUGUCAUCUGAAUAUGGGAGAACUGACGGUUAUCUAAUACAUUGCUGGAAUUGUGGAUAAACCAAGUUAGUGAUCUGCAUGAUUAACUUGCCAUUGACUAAGUAAUAUGUUCACAGCUCCCCUUUAUUGGAAUACGUGUUUGAUCAUUGUAGGGCUCUUGUAAUUGCAGUCCUUUGUCGAGGGAAAGCAAAAGAAACAUGAACUAAAUUUAAUAAACACAUUAUUUUUGAGUGAAAAUUUGUGCUGAUUAAAAAAAGGAGCAGUCCUGUUAGGCCACAGAGGAGGGCUUUGCAGCCAGUCCUGAAGAUACCUGAUAAAACAGGAUCAGAUAAAUGGGGAGGAGGUCCCCCUGUAUCAGUGGACUUGGAAAGGGGCACUGUGGAGAUGAGGGAGGGAGGAGGGACUGGGAGGGAAUGAGGGAUCGGGACAUGGCUGGGAUACAGAGUUAAUAAAAUGUAACUGAUAAGAAAAAAAUAAAAUUAAAAAAAAAAAAAAGGAAAAUGGCCUAGUAAAUUAAGGUGUCCACGUACUUAGGCCUAAGAUGGUCGGUCAUGCCCUAGAAUGUCACUUAUCAAAUAUUACUUAGUUCAAUUGAGAAGAUUUAACGCCUACCUUAUGCAAAGCACCAUGCCUGAUGCAGGUAAGGGAAGAGGAGAAAUGUAAAUAAAUUAGGUACGGUUCUGGUGUUUAGUGGCUUAAAACCCACUGGUUACAAGAAACAUGGCAGUGAAAACCUUCGAAGAGGUACACAUUCAGAGUACUCUGGGAUUAGAAGAGAAACAUUUGCUCUAAGUGGGAUGAACUGGAGAGUCCCCUGAUCUAGCUUGAAGCUCUGCUGUUUAGGAACACUGGAGUAAACUGUUUCAGCCCAGUUUAUGUUUGAGAACACUUUUCAGGGAAAUGGAAUCCAAGAUGCUUUUUUGCAUCUAUGUUUGCGUGGUUGUGUUUAAUUGUAAAAAACCCAGAGAUCACUGCAGGAGUAGACAAAUAAAGAUAUGAAACAUAGAACUUUUGACAUGUAUUUAUAAGAUGAAUUAAAGAGAAUAAACAGGAAAAAAACACAUAAGUUCUGAAAAUAUGUAUAAUUCUUUCAGGCAUAAGUAAUUAUAGUAAAAUAAAAACUAGUUUAUAGAAGUCACUUUAAUUCAAAAUGCCCAUCCUUCUUGUCUUAAGGGAAAAAAACACAUAAAUGGUUUGAUGGCUGAUCUCACCACGCCUCUGGGCUAGUCAGCAGGUUAUUUUCUUACAAAAUAGACCUAUCAUUGGAGAAAAAUGUCCAUCUUCUAUGUCAGAGCUAGUUCUGAGGAACUUGCUAUCCGUGCGUUUUGUUUAUUUUAACAAAAUAAACACAGUUUCUGCUUCUCUUUGAGGUGUGUGUAUGGAAUUUACUGAUCUCAGGACAUGUGCCUUUUGUACUUCAUACUUUGUUUUUUUUUUUAUUGUUUAUUUGGCAGAACUUCACCUCACUUAAUGAAUUCUUAGUUGCUGCUCAAGGUGAUGAAACUCCAUGAAUCAGACUCACUGAAAAUGAGCAUGGUUGGUUUUGUUGUUGUUUGGUUGGUUGAUUUUAGCUUUGUUAACUGUGUCCCUGGCCUUGGGAAUCAUGGGUAAAAUUCCUCAGAACAUUGUAAGAGUUACAUUUCUGUCUCUUCCACAUGUAAAAAUGAACGUGUUGAGACACCUUGCUUGCUCUCAGCAAAUAAGCAUGGGAAAAUGUCAUCUGUGACAUAUACUCUCUAAAGAAAACUAUGCAACAUUUUCAGAAUCCUAACCUCCGUGUUGUGCAAAAUAGCACUUUCCUAAACAGCUAGCAGCAUGUGAGUGGCAGCAUGUGAGUGGCUGUGUUGGUGUCCUUAAUGUAUGUAUGUAAUGUCUGCAAUGUAUGCCUCUUCAAACUAAAUUCAAAAUAAAAUCCCCAGGUAUCUUGGUGCCAUCACCUGAGAGGACCACCAGAACACUUGAAACUCCUUGAGCAUUGCCAUAUUUAAUUUCCCCUUAAUGCUUUCUAUCCAGUUGGCAUUGUCAUAUAGCAUCUGUGUGACAUUGAUAGAGGGCUACAAUUAUUUGUACCAUUAACAAAAUUGAGAGAGUAAGAACAAGUAUAUCAGAGGUAUUAUUAAGAGAAACUUGCAUAUAUAGAUACUGGUACAUAAUUAUAACUCAGGUAUAUAUUAUUUGAGCUAUACUUAUAUAGCAGUAUCUGUAUAUAUAAGUUAUAUUAUUUAGAUCAGUUUCUGACAUAUACUAAUAGGUCAAUAAUCAGUUAUUUAUUGAGGAAGAAUCUCUCAUAGGAUCAGAGGCCUGCCAUUUUCACCCAGUCUAGCUAGCUACCUUGCUCUCAAGAUCCCUUGUCUCUGCCUCCAAGUGCUGGGAGUAUAGGUGUUUCUUUUUUUUUUUUUUUUUUCUUUUUAGUGAACGCUGGGAAUCCAAACUUCAGUCUUCAUGCCUACCUUGCAAGUGCUUUAUCCACUGAGCUCUCUCCUCAGCCCCAUAUUCUUCUUUUUAUAUCAUUUUUUACUUGUUAAUUUUGAGAUUGUAAUUUAAUUAUGUUUUGUCCUUCCCCUCUUCCCCUCCAAGCCCUCCUAUAAACCCCUUCCAUGUUUCCUUCACAUGUAAGGCCUCUUUUCUCAGUAAUUGUUACUCAUGACUAUGUAUUGCUAAAUGUGACCUGUUGAGGGCAUAUAACAUUAAUUGUAUAUAUGAUAUCAGUGAUAACAAUGUGGCACUGGGUAAUUCACCAGUUGGUUAAUUGAUGUGCUCCUCCCUGGUGAGAACCCCCUCCCUCUCCCGGUGUUACUCAGUUGCCUAUGGUUCUUUUUUGUUAUUGUUAUUAUUACUUUUUUUUUAACAAGACUCAUUGUUCUGUUACUUGUCUGGAUAGGUAGGUAGUACUGCCAUCCAAACCCUUUAGGUCAGGGUUUCAUUAUGUGCUAUAGACUGAUCUGACCUUGAACUCAUCCUUCUGGCUUAACCUUGUAGAGCAUGCACUAGUAGCGUACCUGACCAUCAACCAGUCUCUUAAAUGAUUUUCCCUUGCCUCCACCCAUCGUAUCCUUUGCACAGUCAUACAGGUAAUUCUGUUCAUUCUUUUCUCCCCUACCAGUUGCAUCUCAACAUAUUUGCUUUGUUUAUCCCACUAUCAUCCCCUGUCAACCCACUAUCAUUUCUUGAAUCAACUUCUCUGGCAGCUAGUUCGUCUCUCCACAUUGCUCAUUCAUGAUUUAUAAUUAAUAAAUCAUAUUUCUUGGGAAAGUUUUAGAAAAUUCAAAUCUGAUCAUAUUACCUCUUGCCUAAAAUGUUUCAGUAGCCCCUUACCUCUAAUUUCAGGUCUAGAAUUAUGGGCACCAAGAAUAUUAAUAAUAUUGGCACUUCUUUCUCUUUGCUUAAUCCCUUAGUGUUUAUUUGCUCUUGACCACCUUUGUCCCCAAGAUUCACUUUUACUUCCUUUAUUUCACCCCAAAGUUAUCCAGCCCUCUCUUUCAAUACCUCUGCCCAUCCCACUUCCGCCUGGAAGGCAUCUUUGAAUUCCUCCUUGAGCUUCUGGCUCAUCACAAGGUCUAGUAACUUUUUCUGAAAGUUUUCUGAUACCUCCUGUGUUCCCCAUCUUAACCACUCUAACCUACUGUUAAAGCCUAUAGCACUUCACAGUCUAACACCACACACACUCUGUUGUGCUUUCUAAUUCAGUGUGGGUUCUUUUUAAAAUUAAUUCUUAAGAUCUCUGAAGAUAGAGACAAUUUCAUUUUUUUAUACCAGAUUGUACCAAAUAUAAAAUAUGGCUGAAAUUAGUAUAAAAUAAUUAUAUUCAAAGUAGUAUGGUUGUUGAGUGGACUGAGUGUACUUUAAUGGGAAGAUAGAAUUCUCCUUUUAGACCCCAUCUCCGAUUUCAGCUUGAUGAUUUCAUUAUUCUGCUACCUUUAACAUAUUGUUUAGUCUGUUUGUUUUUUCUUAGAUCAGGAAACAGUGAGAGAAAAUUAUACUCAGUUCAUCUUUGUUGUGAGAGUUAAAUCAGUAAGCAUGCAAAGCAGUUAACUUUUUCAGAAUCUGUUUUCUAUAAAUGUAACUUCCUCUAUCGCAUUUGAGGUCAAUUAUUCUGUUUCACCCCAUUCAUCAUUGGGGAGAAAACUUCAUGCUACCUCAUUAUAUCUUCUCUUUGGACAUGCAGAUUAUCGUUCUUUCUCCUUUCGUCCCUAUUCUUUGAAAGGCUACUCUUGAGACACUUUCAUAUUGGAGGGAUUAUCAUCAUGUUUUUUCUACAGGGAUUGUUAUUGUUGUCAUUUGCAAUGGUUCAGCGAAAUGGUUGACCUAAAAAAGCACCAAAAAUGUGUCAUUUUCCUGGUUUGGAGGCCUUGCUAUGCUGGCUCACCCUGAGUACAAACUGUGCUUCAUCUUGAUAUUCAUCUUGAUAUUCUGUGUGGAUGUGCACACCUGUGACUGCUGAUGUAAAUCCUACGCAUUUUUAAAGUGUGUCUCACUUUCUCAUUUUUAAAGGUAAACCCCACAAUAAUGAGGCUGAAGGGGUUUCUCUUGGUUUUAAUACUUAAAUGCAAUUGUCCAUAGCUGUCCAUUUUUAAAAUAGGUUUCAUUUUCACGCAUGGGGUAUUUUGUGUGUUAGCUAGCAGUAGUGUAAGAAUUUAAAUGUUCAAAAGGCUUUGAAGUUAAUCCUCUGCUCAGAAACAGCUGAGAGGUUGAGCAUGGUACAACAUACUUCUCCUUGAAUAUCCAGUCAAGCAAAUGUUCCUCUUUCUGUCAGCCUGUACUUCCUACUAUGACAUUAAAAACAAAACAAAACAACAACAAAAAUAAAUCUAGUUAAUGACAGAUCACAUUCAUUUAAAAAAGCCAAGUGUCCUGAGGCAGCACACCACUAUGGUGAGGAACUGGAUCAUUUUUUUUUGCAAGUCUGUGGUUCUGUUUGUUUUGUUUUCCUAAAUUAAUUUGGUCCCUUGCAGCUCUUCCCUUACCUCAUAAUGUGAGGGGCAGCUGGCAUUAGAAGGCUAAGCCCAGAAUACAAAUGAGGGAUUAAAAGUUGUGUUUUUAACAGAGAUUAUGCUCAUGACUCAAUAUCGCAUACUCUAUUCCAACUAAAGUACCUUCAGCUUCUUUUGUGUCCAAGGUGUUCAGUAUAGAAAGCAAGAGAUGCUUGUCACAGAUAGAAUUUUCUCUGGGUUCUGUGUUUUUAUACAGCAAAGCAUAAGACCUUUUGUUUUUGCUUUUCUCAGAAAAAAAAGUCUUUCCACCUAUUCAGAAUAUUUUUUCCUACAAAUAUACCUCCUAUAUUGAUUUCUCUACUUGGGUUUCUUUGAAAAACUGAUAUUUCAGAGUUUCUGUUCAGAUUAAAUCCCAGAGUAUGCAUUGGGCCUCUGGGUUCUGUAACUGUUGGAGAAAUUGUUUUUAAUUAUAAGAUUAUAAUAGGAUUAUAAGGUAUCUUUAUAUACACAAUACAUUCACCCUCAUUUUUCUCUGAAAGGGAACACCAUGUGACUUUAUAGCAUAAUGUUGCUGUUCCUUAGUGAAUUCCUAGAGACUGCAAUGAUGUCAAGGCUGCUGAGUUCAGGAAAAAAAUCACAACAUGUCUAUCACAGCUAUGACUUCUGAGUCACAUUCAAAUUGAAGCCAUUUAUUUUCAUGGGUUUGGAGAUGACAUGGUAAUAAGAUCAGGCUCUAUAAGGAUAACUGAUAGACAUGAAAACAGAGAGCAAUGAUCAGGAGACACUGAUAAUUCUAGAACACUAAUGGAAAAAAAGAGGAAGUAUGUAUAGGGAGAACAUCACUGCAUUCACCUUGACAGCUGGUAACAAUGAUGUCCCAAACUACAUUAUCCAGACUAGAGUAAGUCAGUGAUCUUUCAAGGUUCAUUUUCACAGUGAAAGUCCAGAGGCAAAGAAGGUAAUGAAUAUAAAGUGCCAGAUUUUGUUUAGCCUUAAAAUAGAUAGUAAUGAAAUUUCCUGUAGGAUUUAAAUUUUUUCAACAAACUAGAAAAUAUGACUCCCAGAGAAACUUCAGUUGAAGUGACUGCCACUAAUUUGAUUUAGCAGUAUAUUGUAGCAAAAACAAGUAGUUAUAAGAAAUAAAAUUUCCCUGCCCCCAACUCCGAAAUAAAAAUAGUGAUAAGUAUUUCUGUUGUCACACAACAAUGUUCUCAACAGGGUCGAAGAAGAACGCAGAACUCAAGGUCCUUUUUCCAAAGAACUUUUACUUUUAAAUCCAGCUGUAUCCCUGACAGAACUCAUAGACUCACUGGUCUGGACAUGAAUAGUGAAAAUAGAUGGGUCUAAAAAUAAGAUAAAGAUUCUAAAUAUGUGUAGACACGAAUAUAAUAACCAUCCUGGAACUGUUGCUAUAUCUGAGCAGAGGUUCAGGGUUAUAUCCAUGAAUCGUCCUUGGAUUGAGUAUCAGUCUCAGGAAAGACCCUUGUGCCCAGAUUUUUUUGGUUUUGUUGCUCUCCUUGUGGAGCUCCUGUCCCCUCCAGGUCCUACUAUUUCCCCGAUUUCCUAAGAUUCCUUGCACUUUGCCAAAAGUUUGGCUAUGAGUCUCAGCAUCUGCUUUGAAUUGUGUUUUACUAAACGGUAACUGUUCAAGUUUAUCAUAGAGAAAUUUGCCUUGUCUCACAUCUUGAAGGAAUUUCCCUGGGGUUUUCCCAUUUCUCGAUCUUCUUUCUUCUGUCUCUUUCAUCUUUCACUUUCACUUGUGUUCAUAUGUAUUUUUUCAUUGAUAUAAGUAAGUUGAAAUAACUUACAAAAUUUAAACUUACAUUGAAAGGAUAUUUUAAAUAUGAGGUAAAAGAAAAAGAAAAAUGAGUAGAAAAGAAAGCAAACACUAUUAACCAGCAAUAUGAUGAGAUAGUAACUGCCAUUAUUGACAAAAUAUAAUGUGGUUCAACAUAGAGUACUAGGGAGGAAUUUGAUGGUAUCACAGAAAAAGCUACCAUGAUGUAUACAAGUUACUUAUUCACCAGCCUUUUAGCAAAGUCAUGUAUAAUGCAGGACCAAAUAAAACAUACUUUGGUAUUAGAAUAAUUGUUACAUAAAACAAGUGUUACAGCAUCUUAUAUAGUGUUCUACAUGUGCAAGGCACUGCUCGCAUCCUGUCUACUUCCAUUACAGUAGUACUCUGAACCCAAAAGAAAGAGAAUAACAAGCUGCCUGUGCACCUUUCAUCUUUAAAAAUGUAAACAGAAGAGUUUUCAAUGUAAAGACCCUCCUCUGAUUUUUAAUACUUUGAGGAAGCCAGGCAUGGUGGCACACACCUUUAAUUUCAGUACUCUGGGAGGCAGAGGCAGGUGGAUCGAUGAGAGUUCAAGGCCAGUCUAGUCUACAAAGUCAGUCCAAGACAGCCUAGGCUACACAGAGAAAAUGUGUCUCAAACAAACAAACAGCAGGUAACAAGAUUAAUAAUAAUAAUACUUUAAAGAAUGUGAUAACAUAGAUUUAUCUGCAUCUUGACACAGAGGUAGAUUCUUCACGUAAUCAAAAUUAUUUUAAAUCUCUCAACUACAGAAGUCCACUGGCAUGUAACCGAUUUUGAAGUCAUGUCUAUAAACAGCUAAACUGAAGCUCCUGUGUGAUUUUGACGAUCAGGAACUAAAGGGCUCUAUUGUGGAUUCCAUAGACAGACUGAAUCUCAUCUAUCCUAACGAAAAAUGAACAAGAAAAGGCAUUAUGACAGGGAAUCACUACCAUGGAAAUUCUCAUGGAAAACUGAGAUUCUACAACCUCAAGCAAGCAUCAACAGAUAUAAGAAGAUUUAAAUAACCCCCUGCAUCUAAUCAGACCACCGUGGACUAAAGUUGGAAUUCAACAACAACAGAAACAGCAGAAAGCCUAUAACUCAUGGAAGCUGAACAACUCACUACUCAAUGACCACUGGCUCAGGGAAGAAAUAAAGAAAGGAAUUAAAGUCUUUUUAGUUUUCAAUAAAAAUGAAGGCACAACAUACCCAACCUUAUGAGAUACAAUGAAAGUAGUGUUAAGAAGAAAAUUCAUAGGACUAAGCUCCUUCCUAGAGAAAUUGAAGAGAUCCCGUACUAGUAACUUAGCAGCACACCUGAAAGCUCUAGAACAGAAGGAAACAAACACACUGAAGGGGAGUAGAUGGCAGGAAAUAAAGUAAGGGCUGAUAUCAAUACAUUGGUAAUAAAGAGAAUGAUACAAAGAAUCAGUGAAACCAAGAGCUGGUUCGUUGAAAAAAAAAAAUCAACAAGAUAGACAAACCCUUAGCUAAAAUAACUAAAAGUCAGAAAAAGAG